GACGAACGCUGGCGGCGUGCUUAACACAUGCAAGUCGAACGGAAAGGCCCCUUCGGGGGUGCUCGAGUGGCGAACGGGUGAGUAACACGUGGGUGAUCUGCCCUGCACUUUGGGAUAAGCCUGGGAAACUGGGUCUAAUACCGAAUAUUCCUUGCUGGUCGCAUGGCCUGGUGAGGGAAAGCUUUUGCGGUGUGGGAUGGGCCCGCGGCCUAUCAGCUUGUUGGUGGGGUGAUGGCCUACCAAGGCGACGACGGGUAGCCGGCCUGAGAGGGUGUCCGGCCACACUGGGACUGAGAUACGGCCCAGACUCCUACGGGAGGCAGCAGUGGGGAAUAUUGCACAAUGGGCGCAAGCCUGAUGCAGCGACGCCGCGUGAGGGAUGACGGCCUUCGGGUUGUAAACCUCUUUCAAUAGGGACGAAGCGCAAGUGACGGUACCUAUAGAAGAAGCACCGGCCAACUACGUGCCAGCAGCCGCCGUAA
rnacentral:rRNA from 1 species